rnacentral:rRNA from 1 species
UUCCGUAGGUGAACCUGCGGAGGGAUCAUUACCGAGUUUACAACUCCCAAACCCUUAUGUGAACCUACCUAUCGUUGCUUCGGCGGACUCGCCCCAGCCGGACGCGGACUGGACCAGCGGCCGCCGGGGACCAUCAAACUCUUGUAUUAUCAGCAUCUUCUGAAUACGCCGCAAGGCAAAACAAAUAAAUUAAAACUUUCAAUAACGGAUCUCUUGGCUCUGCAUCGAUGAAGAACGCAGCGAAAUGCGAUAAGUAAUGUGAAUUGCAGAAUCCAAUGAAUCAUCGAAUCUUUGAACGCACAUUGCGCCCGCCAGCAUCUGGCGGGCAUGCUUGUUCGAGCGUCAUUUCAACCCUCGACCUCCCUUUGGGGAAGUCGGCGUUGGGGACCGGCAGCACACCGCCGGCCCUGAAAUGGAGUGGCGGCCCGUCCGCGGCGACCUCUGCGAGUAAACCAACUCGCACCGGAACCCCGACGUGGCCACGCCGUAAAACACCCAACUUCUGAACGUUGACCUCGAAUCAGGUAGGACUACCCGCUGAAUUAAGCAUAUCAAUAAGCGGAGGA